rnacentral:rRNA from 1 species
UACGGGGGGGGCAAGCGUUGUUCGGAAUUACUGGGCGUAAAGGGCUCGUAGGCGGCCAACUAAGUCGGAUGUGAAAUCCCCAGGCUUAACCUGGGAACUGCAUCCGAUACUGGAUGGCUUGAAUCCGGGAGAGGGAUGCAGAAUUCCAGGUGUAGCAGUGAAAUGCGUAGAUAUCUGGAGGAAUACCGGUGGCGAAGGCGGCAUCCUGGACCGGCAUUGACGCUGAGGAGCGAAAGCCAGGGGAGCAAACGGG